CAGCAUCGAUGCUUGGCAAAAUGGGGGAGGAGGCAAAGGAUACGAGAGUGUGAAAAAUAAUUUCCUGCCGCUGAUAUGUGGCGGAUCGGACGAGAAGAAAAGUCCUGGCCGGGGGAUAUCAAAAUAUUAUUCGAGGGUUACCUAGGGUAGCUCCGCAUUCUCGCGCCAUAUAGGAGCCCUGUUGAAGCUAAAGUGGAUGGUUAUUGCCCUCAACCUGACCGCACAGGCUGGCACACUCGACUACCUCAUGGCGGAGAAUGUAUCUCAUUGUUUCACAUUUUAUUCUGCAAAAAUUAAAAGACAGGAACUGUGCGAGUAAAAUCGUCCAUCGGUUCCGGUAUCACCACGAAUCCACGAUCCAGAAGUAGGUGCACGCGCGCGCGCGUGUUUGCGCCCAGUUGGGAAGCGUUGCACUCUCACACAUGCGCGCACAAGUACAGCAAGUACUUACAAUUAGUACGGGGAACGCAGCCCCAAGCUGUGAGAGACGGUCGAUAUGUGGUCACAAUGAAGGGUGUGGCGUUCGAGGACCAAAAGCUCUCUCCUGUCCGCUUUAUCCUACCAUUGGCUGUUGCCAGGUGUCGAGAAUGGCGGACCUUUCUCGCCGUGGCCCUCCGGCUUCUCUUAACAACACUUCAAGUCUUCUCGCGACCGCCACCAAAGAUUUUGCUUUAAUUGCGACACGUGGAAUGGAGGCAGCUUUCUGAUUUGCGAUUUACACGCAUUAGUGUAGUUCUUAGAUCCUUAGAAUAUUGAGUCAUUGUACAUUCCUAAUUA